CGCUCUGGUGACCUCUUGGUUAGAGCGUCCGCCUCGAAUGCGGGAAGUCGCGGGUUCGAACCCCGGCUGAGUCA